UGGGGAAUAUUGGACAAUGGGCGAAAGCCUGAUCCAGCCAUGCCGCGUGUGUGAAGAAGGUCUUCGGAUUGUAAAGCACUUUAAGUUGGGAGGAAGGGCAUUAACCUAAUACGUUAGUUUUUUGACGUUACCGACAGAAUAAGCACCGGCUAACUCUGUGCCAGCAGCCGCGGUAAUACAGAGGGUGCAAGCGUUAAUCGGAAUUACUGGGCGUAAAGCGCGCGUAGGUGGUUUGUUAAGUUGGAUGUGAAAUCCCCGGGCUCAACCUGGGAACUGCAUUCAAAACUGACUGACUAGAGUAUGGUAGAGGGUGGUGGAAUUUCCUGUGUAGCGGUGAAAUGCGUAGAUAUAGGAAGGAACACCAGUGGCGAAGGCGACCACCUGGACUAAUACUGACACUGAGGUGCGAAAGCGUGGGGAGCAAACA
rnacentral:rRNA from 1 species